rnacentral:rRNA from 1 species
UACGGAGGGGGCAAGCGUUGUUCGGAGUUACUGGGCGUAAAGCGCGCGUAGGCGGUGCGGUAAGUCAGUGGUUAAAGGCUGCAGCUCAACUGCAGUAAGGCCUUUGAUACUAUCGUGCUAGAGUGUCAGAGAGGAUGGCGGAAUUCCCGGUGUAGCGGUGAAAUCCGUAGAUAUCGGGAGGAACACCAGAGGCGAAGGCGGCCACCUGGGCCAAGACUGACGCUGAGGUGCGAAAGCGUGGGGAGCAAACAGG